rnacentral:rRNA from 1 species
AUGGACGGCCUCCACACGGAGCUCGCGCUGGGGCUGAUCGGCGAGCUCGAGACGGCGCCGUUCGUGGCCAAGACGUACCAGAUGGUGUGCGACCCUAGGACGGACGCGCUCGUCAGGUGGGGGAGGGACAACAACAGCUUCCUCGUCACCGACGUCGCCGGGUUCUCGCAGCUCCUCCUCCCCUGCUUCUUCAAGCACGGCAACUUGUCCAGCUUCGUCCGCCAGCUCAACUCAUACGGUUUCCGGAAGGUACACCCGGACCGAUGGGAGUUCGCGCACGAGUCAUUCCUGCGCGGUCAGACGCACCUUCUGCCGCGCAUCGUGCGCCGCAAGAAGCGCGGCGAGGCCUCUUCCUCGGCUCUAGUCGGCAGCGGCGAGCAGUACGUGGUGGCCAAUAUCGGGGAGGAAGUGGAGGAGGAAGAGGACGACGAGGGGAGGGAGGCCCUGCUCGAGGAGGUUCGGAGGCUGCGGCAGGAGCAGACGGCUGUCGGGGAGCAGCUGGCGCAGAUGGCUCGGCGACUGCAGGCGACGGAGCGGCGGAGUGACCGGCUCAUGCCCUUACUUGCCCGGCUCGACGAGGAUCCCAGGGCCACCUCCCUCCACCUUCUCCAACAGGCGGCCGAGAAGAAGCGCCAGCACACGCAGUUGCAUUCCCGUGAUUUUGCUUCCUUUCCCAUUGCACCCCCGCUUCACCCGGCGCCUUCGCCGCUAUUGGCCAUGGGCGGAGCCAGAGUCGGGCAAUGGGCCGAGCCGAUGCCACUGAAACUCACAACCUUCAAGCAGACCUCCGCGAGCUCCGGGGUGCAGCAGGUGCCGGAGUUCGAGGGCGGCGGCAGCGGCAUGGGCCUAACUGACAGUGGGACCGCAGAGGAGACCCCCUUCCCGUUCUGCCUACUUGGUCAGUGUUUCUUCUAA